rnacentral:tRNA from 1 species
AGCGCACGACUCAAAAUCGUG